rnacentral:rRNA from 1 species
UACGGAGGGAGCUAGCGUUGUUCGGAAUUACUGGGCGUAAAGCGCACGUAGGCGGCGAUUCAAGUCAGAGGUGAAAAGCCCGGGGGCUCAACCCCCGGAACUGCCUUUUGAAAACUAGAUUGCUAGAAUCCUGGAGAGGUGAGUGGAAUUCCGAGUGUAGAGGUGAAAUUCGUAGAUAUUCGGAAGAACACCAGUGGCGAAGGCGACUCACUGGACAGGUAUUGACGCUGAGGUGCGAAAGCGUGGGGAGCAAACAGG